GAUCUUCACCACAUGCUCCGCAUUCCCAUCAUUCAAAGGGAUCGAAACCAGAUCUUCGAUUGGGCUGCCCCUUUCCUCAGUGAGAUCGUCGUGGGCGUCCAGCCCAUCAACCGAACAGAGGUCAGAUUGGUCACUUCUUUGCAAGGUUAUGUUGUAGCAGCGUCUGGCCAGGGCCUGGUCUCCCCUGACUUCUCUGACCCCC
rnacentral:lncRNA from 1 species